rnacentral:misc_RNA from 1 species
UAGCGCCGGCUCCUCCUGCCCGUCCACCGAACGGCCGGCAGGCGAUCCGCGUCGGUCGUGCGGGGUGGUAUGGUUCCCCCGAGCCCGGUUCUUGUGCUGCCUACCCGUUCAAGGGAAGCAGGCCACCUGAUGUAAGCCUCCAUCCGGCGCCUUCCAUUGGGCGCAGGAGGACAACGGAGCACCCCCCCGCGUUCCAACCGAGCCUUUCUCGGUCGCGUGGCCCGCGGGGACGUGCGAUGCUCUCGGACCCAGCGAACGCCG